rnacentral:rRNA from 1 species
UUGGUUAAGUUAGAAAGGGCGCACGGUGGAUGCCUUGGCACUAGGAGCCGAAGAAGGACGGGACUAACACCGAUAUGCUUUGGGGAGCUGUACGUAAGCGUUGAUCCAGAGAUUUCCGAAUGGGGGAACCCACUAUCUUUAGUCGGAUAGUAUCCUUACGUGAAUACAUAGCGUGAGGAAGGCAGACCCAGGGAACUGAAACAUCUAAGUACCUGGAGGAAGAGAAAGAAAAAUCGAUUUCCUGAGUAGCGGCGAGCGAAACGGAAAGAGCCCAAACCAAGAAGCUUGCUUCUUGGGGUUGUAGGACACUCUAUACGGAGUUACAAAAGAAAGUUAUAAAUGAAGCGGUCUGGAAAGGCCCGCCAAAGACGGUAACAGCCCGGUAGUUGAAAUGGCUUUCCCUCCAGAGUGGAUCCUGAGUACGGCGGAACACGUGAAAUUCCGUCGGAAUCCGGGAGGACCAUCUCCCAAGGCUAAAUACUCCCUAGUGACCGAUAGUGAACCAGUACCGUGAGGGAAAGGUGAAAAGCACCCCGGAAGGGGAGUGAAACAGUUCCUGAAACCGUGUGCCUACAAGUAGUUAGAGCCCGUUAAUGGGUGAUAGCGUGCCUUUUGUAGAAUGAACCGGCGAGUUACGAUUUGUUGCAAGGUUAAGCGGAAAAAGCGGAGCCGUAGCGAAAGCGAGUCUGAAUAGGGCGCAUAAGUAACAGGUCGUAGACCCGAAACCAGGUGAUCUACCCAUGUCCAGGAUGAAGGUAAGGUAAUACUUACUGGAGGUCCGAACCCACGCACGUUGAAAAGUGCGGGGAUGAGGUGUGGGUAGCGGAGAAAUUCCAAUCGAACUUGGAGAUAGCUGGUUCUCUCCGAAAUAGCUUUAGGGCUAGCCUCGAGGUAAAGAGUCAUGGAGGUAGAGCACUGUUUGGACUAGGGGCCCUUCUCGGGUUACCGAAUUCAGAUAAACUCCGAAUGCCAUGUACUUAUACUCGGGAGUCAGACUGCGAGUGAUAAGAUCCGUAGUCGAAAGGGAAACAGCCCAGACCACCAGUUAAGGUCCCCAAAUAUAUGUUAAGUGGAAAAGGAUGUGGGGUUGCUUAGACAACCAGGAUGUUGGCUUAGAAGCAGCCACCAUUGAAAGAGUGCGUAAUAGCUCACUGGUCGAGUGACCCCGCGCCGAAAAUGUACCGGGGCUAAACAUAUUACCGAAACUGUGGAUGAACCUCUUUAGAGGUUCGUGGUAGGAGAGCGUUCUAAGGGCGGUGAAGUCAGACCGGAAGGACUGGUGGAGCGCUUAGAAGUGAGAAUGCCGGUAUGAGUAGCGAAAGAAGGGUGAGAAUCCCUUCCACCGAAUAUCUAAGGUUUCCUGAGGAAGGCUCGUCCGCUCAGGGUUAGUCGGGACCUAAGCCGAGGCCGAUAGGCGUAGGCGAUGGACAACAGGUAGAGAUUCCUGUACCAGUGCUAAUUGUUUAACCGAUGGGGUGACACAGAAGGAUAGGGAAUCGCACGAAUGGAAAUGUGCGUCCAAGCAGUGAGUGUGAGAAGUAGGCAAAUCCGCUUCUCGCGAAGCAUGAGCUGUGAUGGGGAAGGAAAUUAAGUACGGAAGUUCCUGAUUUCACGCUGUCAAGAAAAGCCUCUAGGAAGAGUAGUACUGCCCGUACCGCAAACCGACACAGGUAGAUGAGGAGAGAAUCCUAAGGUGAGCGAGAGAACUCUCGUUAAGGAACUCGGCAAAAUGACCCCGUAACUUCGGGAGAAGGGGUGCUCUAUUAGGGUGCAAGCCCGAGAGAGCCGCAGUGAAUAGGCCCAGGCGACUGUUUAGCAAAAACACAGGUCUCUGCAAAACCGUAAGGUGACGUAUAGGGGCUGACGCCUGCCCGGUGCUGGAAGGUUAAGAGGAGUGCUUAGCUUCGGCGAAGGUACGAAUUGAAGCCCCAGUAAACGGCGGCCGUAACUAUAACGGUCCUAAGGUAGCGAAAUUCCUUGUCGGGUAAGUUCCGACCCGCACGAAAGGCGCAACGAUCUGGGCACUGUCUCAACGAGAGACUCGGUGAAAUUAUAGUACCUGUGAAGAUGCAGGUUACCCGCGACAGGACGGAAAGACCCCGUGGAGCUUUACUGCAACCUGAUAUGGAAUGUUUGUACCGCUUGUACAGGAUAGGUAGGAGCCGAAGAGACGUGUGCGCUAGCAUACGAGGAGGCAAUGGUGGGAUACUACCCUGGCUGUAUGACCAUUCUAACCCGCCACGCUUAGCGCGUGGGGAGACAGUGUCAGGUGGGCAGUUUGACUGGGGCGGUCGCCUCCUAAAGAGUAACGGAGGCGCCCAAAGGUUCCCUCAGAAUGGAUGGAAAUCAUUCGCAGAGUGUAAAGGCACAAGGGAGCUUGACUGCGAGACUGACAAGUCGAGCAGGGACGAAAGUCGGGCUUAGUGAUCCGGUGGUUCCGCAUGGAAGGGCCAUCGCUCAACGGAUAAAAGCUACCCCGGGGAUAACAGGCUU